AACGUGCCUUUAGGUUCGGAAUAACUCAGGGAAACUUGUGCUAAUACCGAAUGUGCCCUUCGGGGGAAAGAUUUAUCGCCUUUAGAGCGGCCCGCGUCUGAUUAGCUAGUUGGUGAGGUAAAGGCUCACCAAGGCGACGAUCAGUAGCUGGUCUGAGAGGAUGAUCAGCCACAUUGGGACUGAGACACGGCCCAAACUCCUACGGGAGGCAGCAGUGGGGAAUCUUGCGCAAUGGGCGAAAGCCUGACGCAGCCAUGCCGCGUGAAUGAUGAAGGUCUUAGGAUUGUAAAAUUCUUUCACCGGGGACGAUAAUGACGGUACCCGGAGAAGAAGCCCCGGCUAACUUCGUGCCAGCAGCCGCGGUAAUACGAAGGGGGCUAGCGUUGCUCGGAAUUACUGGGCGUAAAGGGAGCGUAGGCGGACAUUUAAGUCAGGGGUGAAAUCCCGGGGCUCAACCUCGGAAUUGCCUUUGAUACUGGGUGUCUUGAGUAUGAGAGAGGUGUGUGGAACUCCGAGUGUAGAGGUGAAAUUCGUAGAUAUUCGGAAGAACACCAGUGGCGAAG
rnacentral:rRNA from 1 species